rnacentral:rRNA from 1 species
CGCGGUGGUCCCACCUGACCCCAUGCCGAACUCAGAAGUGAAACGCCGUAGCGCCGAUGGUAGUGUGGGGCUUCCCCAUGCGAGAGUAGGGAACUGCCAG